UUUUCUCUUUCUGACGUACUUCACUCUGCAUGCCAGCCCAUCGUUUCUUUUGUCUUCUAACUUCGGGUUCCUUUCCCUCCUACCUUCACCAGCAUAGGGCUGACCGUGCCACCACUAGUCAUCAACGCGACCAUGGAGUGAAGGCUUGUGUUCCCUCACAUUCAUAGGCGGAAGCUGUAACUCAUCCCAUGAUGGUAUUUGGAGGUGGAACCUGUGGGAGGUAAUUAGAUUAGGCCAUGAAGGGGCUUAGACUGGGUUAGAAGGAGGUUAGAUGAGGUCAUAAAGGUGGGCCCCUCCUGAUGCAGUUAGUGGCCUCACAAGAGGAGGAAGGCAUGGGUACUGGGUGGUGGGAGGGAAGAAAGAAAGAGAGAGACCUCUACCUGCACACACCCAGGAAAGGUCAUGUGAGGACAUAGCGAGAAGGCAGUCAUCUGCAAGCCAGGAGAGAUUUCAUGCAGGACCUAAGUGGCCCCCACCUUGAUCUUGGCCUUCCCAGCUUCUAGAACUGUGGAAAGUGCGCGUCUGCUGUUUAAGCUGCCCAGUCAAUGGUAUUUAGUGAUGCCAACCUGCGCUAAAACAAACAGUGUCUGUGGGUGCCUGCUGUGUACCCAGUACCCUGUUUUGGCUGCUGUUUUUCUGACAAGGGGAAACAUAGGGCAGAUUUCUAAAACUGAGCAAGUCUAACUUUUAUACACACAGGAGGACUGGUCUCUGUGGCUUUUUCUGACACAGUUUCCUGGGUUUAUAAACGUCCCAGGAGAAAGUGAGAUCCUUCCUCACACUGAAGAGAAGAGCUGCCAAAUCCCGCCCGUCACCAUGCUCUCACUGUGGUGGGCAAGCUCUCCUCUAGACCCCUAGCAAGACAACGUGAGUCCGAGGAGUUCUGUGAAACACUGCCCGUCACACAGCUCUCAGCUACUUCCCAGUGAAGAAUCUUUUUCAAUUUUGAGUCAUCCAGGGUUUCUCAGCCAAUUUGAGCAUAGCUCCCUUUUAAUUUUUACUUUUUGAACAGUAAAAUUAACAGUUAACGUUAACACCUCGCUUUUGAAAAAGUGAAAGUGUUAGUUGCUCAGUUGUUUCCAGGUUCUGUGUCCUUGGGAUUUUCCAGGCAGGAAUACUGGAGAGGAUUGCCAUUCCCUUCUCCGGGGACAGUGCCUGGAGCACCGUUUGAACAGUGCCUGUUAGAAAUCAGCCAAGGGCUGUGCUCAAUCACAGCGCUCUCUGCCGAGCGCCAGGGACGGCCCUCCGCCCUCAGAGGUGCACACAGCUGAAGUUCUGCCAGAAAACCCUGUGACAAUGCCAUCCGAUGUGAGAGUGGAACAAUUAACUGGAAACAAGUUCUUCUGUACCGUUUCUAGACUCCACCAGUCAGAAUGAGAAGGGGUCCUCUCCUCCCCAUGAGACUGAAAACACUAGUGCCCCCCAGCACAUUAUACACGUCACAGUAAGCUAAAGAUGCCAUGCCUGUGUCCUGCCAAAAUUUAUAUGUUAAAACCUACCCCCCAAUGAUGCUGUUAGAAGAUGGGGUCCUCGCCAGGUGAUGAAGUCAUGAGGGUGGAGCUCCCAUGAUGGAAUUAGUGCCCUUAUAAGACACCCCAGAGGUCUCUCUGCCCCUCUACCAUGUAAGGACAUAGCAAGAAGACGGCCAUCUAUGAACCAGGAAGUGUGUCCUCACCAGACACAGAAGCUACUGGAGCCCUGGUCAUGAACUUAUAGCCUCCCGAACUGUGAGAACUGGUGCAGUCCACCCACUAGAACACGCUGCGGGAUGAUUCCUUUGCUGCUAAAUCUUCAGCAUUUAGUGUGAUCCCUUGCCCAUAAUAAAGACUUAAUAAAUGUUGAGUAGAUAAAUGGAUGAAUUAUCUACUCAACAAUCCAACCAAACAAUAUGCCCAGGGGAUCCAUUUGGACAACUGCUUGAAGGAUCAAAACAGAUACAGUUUUAAGCCAAGUAAGCCUCCUGUUUGGGCUUCCCAGGUGGCACUAGUGGUAAAGAGCCCAAUUGCCCAUGCAGGAGAUAUAAGAGAUGUGGGUUUGAUCCCUGGGUCGGGAAGAUCCCUUGAGGGAGGGCACGGCAGCCUACUCCAGUAUUCUUGCCUAGAGAAUCCCAUGGACAGAGAAGCCUGGCGGGCUACCGUCCAUGGGGUCACAAACAGUCGGAAAUGACUGAAAUGACUUAGCA
ensembl:lncRNA